UGGUGGAGUGAUUUGUCUGGUUAAUUCCGUUAACGAACGAGACCUCAACCUGCUAAAUAGUUUGGCUUAACCCUUCGUGGUUAGGUGCAAUACUUCUUAGAGGGACUAUCGGUGCGUAGCCGGUGGAAGUUUGAGGCAAUAACA
rnacentral:rRNA from 1 species